UAAGGAAUAUUGGACAAUGGAGGCAACUCUGAUCCAGCCAUGCCGCGUGAAGGAAUAAGGCCCUAUGGGUUGUAAACUUCUUUUAGACGGGACAAAACCCCUUUACGUGUAAAGGGUUGAUGGUACUGUCAGAAUAAGCAUCGGCUAACUUCGUGCCAGCAGCCGCGGUAAUACGAAGGAUGCAAGCGUUAUCCGGAAUUAUUGGGUUUAAAGGGUGCGUAGGCGGACUAAUAAGUCAGUGGUGAAAGCCUGCAGCUUAACUGCAGAAUUGCCAUUGAUACUGUUAGUCUUGAGUACAGUUGAGGUAGGCGGAAUGUGUCGUGUAGCGGUGAAAUGCUUAGAUAUGACACAGAACACCGAUUGCGAAGGCAGCUUGCUAAGCUGUAACUGACGCUGAGGCACGAAAGCGUGGGGAGCAAACA
rnacentral:rRNA from 1 species